rfam:Caenorhabditis remanei strain PB4641 contig123.10, whole genome shotgun sequence.
ACAACGGCCUUCUUUAAGGCCACAAAUCCAAAAAAUCCAACUUUUU